AAGCAGUGCCAAAACCACCCAAG
rnacentral:siRNA from 1 species